CCUUAGAGAAAUAAAGACAAUAUCACAUCUGAAAUCAUAUUUAUUGUAUGUAUGUACUAUUUUCCUCAGUGAACACUGAAGACUCAUGGAAUCCGGACAAGAUGUAUGGAGGUUCACAUCGACAGUCAGCUACGGACUCCUUGUU